AAUUUAAUUUUAUUUUAUUUUAUUUUACUUUAUUUUAUUUUAUUAAUUUAAUUCUGUAUUUCUAACUAAAGUCCACUAAAAUAAGCUCUAACCAUGUAUCUUACCUGACAGGGCAAGCUGGGAUGUCUCAAGAUCCCCUGUAACAGAGCUGGGUUAUGCUGUAUGUGCCAUGCAGUGGCACUUCACUGGUGUCCGUCAGCUUCCUCUUCAGGGCCUCCUCUUCCUCCUUGCUCAGUUUGGGGCCCUUCUGUUGGUCCAGGCCACAGAACCAGUUGUAAGCUUUCCUGCAGCACCCCGGCUCCUCCUGGUUUUCCUCAUUAACUGGAAGGAAUAACGCUCUGGUCAGGAAAGGUGAAUUCCCUCCAAGUGCUGGAGUCACACACAGUUCUGCCAACGCACAGCCCCUGUCCCAGAGCAUUCCCAUUGGUUUAGUCCUGGAGCUGCCACCCAGCUACCAAGAGAUUAAGAAUUUCUCCCUUCAAAUCCGCUUCACUUCUGAUUUACACUGAGCUUGAGAGAUUGCUCUGUCCUGCUCCUCUUCUGCAUCAAGAUCAAUCCGUUCCUCUUUGCUGUUCCGCAAGGACCAGCACAAGCGGUAAAGCUGCCACGGAACAAAAGGAGUUGAAUUGAUCAUGGGCUGACUACACAGACACCAAGCAGCCUGGCCAGCCCCUGAGCUGGCUGUAAGACCACAGCACCCCAGAGGUCUGGGAUGUCUGAGGCUGUCAGGAGCCACUGAAGAUCUGUGACAGGUGCUUGAUCAUUGGAACAGGCUGCCUAGAGACACUGUGGAGUCUCCAUUCCUGGGAUAGGCAAAAUCCAACUGGACAGGAUAGAAGUACCACCACCCUGAGGCAGAUGACGAUCACGGUGCUUUUUCCUGUCAUUCAUUAACUGCUUCACCUUGCUCCUCUCGAAAGCAAUUACAUGACAAGGGUCAUUAUCCUGAAAUGGCAGGGGAGAAAUCUGACAAACAAGAGUCCACUUGCAAAACAACUGCCCCCACCCUGAGUGUGGAAAUGCACUGAGGCUCUCCAGAAUUAUUCCAGGUGAGCCCUGGCUUGACACAGAAGAGAACUCAAAGCACAAGAGUAAAACAUCACACACAGCUUCAGCUGUUGCAGAACUGAGAUCACAUCUCUGAUGGAACUUUCUAUACUUUCCUUGGUUUCCUCAUGAUUUCAGCCCCAUUUGCUCUGUGUGAUGGACAUCCCACAGCCUGCUAAGCUGUGGGAAUUGGUGUUUUGGAAUCUCUUUUUAUCCAAGGCAAACUUUCCAGGGUGAUGCUGCUGACACGGUGUUUAGUUUGAGGUUUUGGAGUGCUUGCUCCUUGUUUAUUUUGAGUGAUAUGAGGAAGAACAGCAAGAAGGGUUUAUUUUUAUGGCAUGGGAAGACACUCUGGCAUUCCAAAGGGAAGGACUGAAGAGGAGAGCCAGGACUGCACUGAGGACUAGCACUUUGUCCGUGCUGAGCUCACUGAGUGUGGGAAGGAGGGAGGGAUCCUGGCAGGAGCUGUGGGUGAUCCCUGCUGGAUCCCCACUGGAGGAGCGGAGCCUGCUGAGUCUGUGGGGUUUGUGUUGGCAGAGGAGUCGCUGUCAGAUCCUCUCCCCCGAGGCUCAGGGGAAUCACUGGGAGUUCUCAGUGCCACUGGAGCAAGACAGAACUUUUCUGUGUGAGUCUCUGCUGCCUCACUGCCUCCAUCUGCAUUUACAUCUGCACAAAGGGAUAUUCUUACCCCUUGACAGGCAGGCAGAACUGCACAAGGUUAAAGCCAGCCCACUGAUUAAAGUGAGUUAAGCAGAGUAAUCUGUUGGGGUUUUUUCUCUUCUCCCAGAAUUAUGCAUUUUAUCUUAAAAUAACUUGGAAACUUUCUCUCUCCUCAGUCUUCCAAAGGAACCUGAAUUUUCUUAGAUCUACUACAUCAGAUGAAGAACCCUUUUACUGCCAUUGGCCCUUAAUCCUUUCCUGUCCUUAAAGAGGUUGUCCCAAGGCCUUCUAAAGGCAGAGAGCAGCUCUCUGAAGCACAAGACUGAAGGGUCUGCAGGAAUUUCUGCAGCCUACUUCAAGAAAAUUCCUAAAUCUUUAGGGAACCAAUACCUACUCUCACUCUUCUGGUCCUGUAACUGAAACAAGGUGUGUGGGGUCUUGACUCCUAAACCUUAAUGAAGCACAGAAACAUUUUCUGACACUGAAUGCAAGACCAGGAAUGUUGAGGAAUUCCAUUCAAACACAUGGAAUCAUGUAAAACACAUUUCCAUUUUCUGUAUUACAGUAAUACAGAAAAUGCAGGUUUGUCUAAGUUUCCUGCUUUUCAUAUUAAAGAGACUCUGUGAUCAAGAAGAAAAGUUAAUUGUUUUUAACAUACUUUCUGCCAAAGGCCUGAGGGAAUGGAUGGCUGAGAACACUUUGUAUCUAUGACUCCUGUUCUCUAUUGGAAGGUAAUAGAGAUCCAUAGAAGACAAUCAAUCUAAGCCACAACUAAUCUCUAAAUACAUUUAAAAUGCAUUUUACCAACAAUGUAUCAGAACAUUUCCAGGAUUUUUCUCCUUGUACAGACCAGAACUUGUUACUAAAAGUAGAAACAAUAGAGCAAUAAAGGGGAAACUUUCAGUAAAUUAAUUCCUGUCUGUGAUAACCUUAAAAUGAGCCAGCUUCUUUUAGUGCAAUGAAAAGAAUAGAGUCCAAAUGUUGAAAAGACUUUAAGUGAGAUGAAAGACAAAGCACUGGAUUGGUCUGUGCUGACAUUACCAAUGUAUUUAUGUCAAACACACUGAUCACAUUGUGCUGAACACAGACAACUUCCCCCAACACUCUCCCUGCCCACCCCGAGGCUUUGUUUGUGCAGUUUGCCCCGACACCACAGGUGGAGAAAGAGUUGGGUUUGCAGCCACACAACGAAGCCGUGACAGGCUCAGCAGUGUCACAGAGCCCUUGAUGUGAGGAGUGACAGUGCCAGGGACGCAGCUGCCCCUCCUGAGCUCUGUGUACACUCAGCACUCACCGGCCACCAAACCAUGCUCCGUCCAGCCAGGAAAAACCCACCCACUGUGCCUCGGUUGGUGGAGUACAUAGCCUGCAAAAGAGCAAAAAAGAAGGUUUAAAUCAUGUUUCAAGUGUACCAGGUAAGCUAUACAUAGGCUGAGAACAAACAGCUACAAUGAAGGGAUAAUAAAACACACGGGCAGGGUAAAGUGAAAGAAACUGAGUGGCUAAAAAGAACAACCUUAUGAGGAAGAAAAUAAUACAAUGGAACAACGAUUCUUUUAUCUAGGUCUGCAUUAGCCAUUCAAAUUUCAUUCCUUCAUUAUAGUGUGAAACACUAAUAAGAUUAAAUUUAACCAAGAAAAAUUACCACUCAAGUAAAAGCUCACAUGAAUUUUUCAUUGGGGUGAAAAGCCUUUUAUUUCAGACAUCAAAAUAGACUAUAAGGUGCAAACACUGUAAGUGUUUUUAUGAACAGAAAGUCUGCAGGUUUUUUACUCAGUACCAUCCUGCUCCUACAGGUAUCUGUUUUGUUGUUGUGAUAUCAGCAUUGUGGCUUAUUCCUUCUGAAGUUCCAAAAGAAGCCAGCUAAAAUUUCCUUUUCACAAACUUGUGCUGUUUUAAUUAAGAGGUGGGCUUUAGAGGGAAAUUUCCUCCAAUUUUUGUUAAUGACCCUGAGCCAUUGUUUACUGGAUUUCCAUUGUCUUCUCUGAUGGACUUUGAACAGGUAAAUAAAGAAAGAAGACCUGGAAAAAUUAGCCAUAUAUUUUCUUCCAUGCAGAAGAAAGGAAGUAAAUAUGAUGGAUUUACAUUUAACUACACACAGCAACUGAGUAAGUAUUUGUCCAAUAACGAUGUCAUCAUGGCUGGAAAGAAACGGCUCCAGGAAUUAACUCAGCACACAAAGGCCUGAGAAACCAGAGAUCAGCCCUUUGUUGUCAGAGCUUUAACAUAAAGUUCAAGUACAGCAACAGCCAGACUGUCAUGGCAAGGCCCAGCUCCCUCCUGCCAGGCAGCAACGUGUUCUGUGCACUGAGGUUUCAGAUUUUUGGCUAUAUUUUUGGUCUCUACUCCUAUGCUGAAGAGGCAAAGGAAAGGUUGUGUCCACUUCGUGCAAACCCUAAAUUUUUGGUGUCCUUCAAAAUAUUGCCAGGUUGCCAGAAAGCGAGGCUUGUUCUGCAGCUGACUUUUCUGCCCUGUGAAAUGUUCCUGGGAUGCUCCUGGAAAGCAGAGGAUUCCUGAGGGGCGAUCCCUCCUCUCUGCUCGUUAAUGGUCAGGUGUUCAGGUGACCGGGAGGGCUUGCCCCAGGGUAACCCGAAUUCAGGGCCAUUCCCCUGCUCCCGGCAUUGUAGCUCCGUGUGUUGGCCCGUUCUCCAAAACUCUCCAGCUCUGAGGUCCCGGCGCUGGGCUGGGAGAUGCCUCUGUCCCCCGGCGCCGUGAUCUCCUCUCUCC